UACGUAGGGUGCAAGCGUUAAUCGGAAUUACUGGGCGUAAAGCGUGCGCAGGCGGUUUUUGUAAGUCAGAUGUGAAAUCCCCGGGCUCAACCUGGGAAUGGCGAUGAAGACUGCAAGGCUAGAAUCUGGCAGAGGGGGGUAGAAUUCCACGUGUAGCAGUGAAAUGCGUAGAGAUGUGGAGGAACACCGAUGGCGAAGGCAGCCCCCUGGGUCAAGAUUGACGCUCAUGCACGAA
rnacentral:rRNA from 1 species